rnacentral:rRNA from 1 species
AACAACAGAAUUCAAGACGUCCUACUACUCUUUGAAUCCAUUAAAUACCUAGUAACCUAUCAAACCCUAAUCAAUAGAUCCUAUAACUCUGGCUAAUGGAAUUAGCCGCUCAUGAUUUGAUGAACAAAAUAACAAGGUGAAUUCAUGAUAAUAAGGUUAAACCUACGAAUGGAUGAAACUCAACAAGUUUUUCUUCAAUUCAAUUACAAGAUAGAAACCCAAAAUAGUUGAUAAGUUUUUGUAAAGAAGAAGAAAAAUAUCUGAUGGUAAAGAUGAAGCAAUGUUACGUGCCUCUCUUUAGAAGUUCGUGUCUGAUAGAUAAUGAUAGAUAAUGAUCCCUCCCUAAAAAAGCCUAAAAGAAGUCUUUAAAUUGUCAACCCUAAAUAAGGAAAUAAAAUUAAAGUUUCAGUUUUUCUCUUUAGAAUAGACGAUAAUGAUCAUGACGGCGUGUCAGAUAUCUGACGACAUGUGCGAGAUGUCGUCAAAGAUUCUAGUGAGUUUUUAUCUUCUGACUUUUCAGACGGAAAACCUGAUGGCGUGUCAAAAAACUUGAUGGCACGUGAAAACUUCCAUCAUAACUUCACUAAAAAUCAACAUACUCUACCUCUGGAUGACGACGAUUUUGAUGCCAUAUGACAUAUUUGACGGCCCAUCCUAAAUGUCAUCCCAUUUUAUCUUAUCUUCUCAGGUUCUGUCUAAGCUUGAUGGCAACUUUGACAGUCUGUCCCAUGUAUGACGGUGCUUCAGAAUGGACGUCAGCUACACUUCAGCUUAUUUACACCAGAUUUCAGCUAAUUUAUUCUUCUUUCCUUUGGUUUCCUCCUCGAUCACUUGUACUCUCAUUAACACAUUAAAAGCAAUCAAAAACAACAAAAGUUGCUUAAGACUUCCGAAUUAUUCAGAGUUAAAAGCUUCAAAUAUGUUAGCAUUAGCUCACACAUCAAGGGUCCAGUGGCUGGAAUAGCACCGCACAUUGUGUGGUGUCUGGUACGCUCCCGAAGGCCCUUGAAAAUCUAGAGGAACAAAUGGCAUCCACACCCGAUCGUACUCAUAACCACAUCAGGUCUCCAAGGUGAACAAUCUUUGGUCGAUGAAAUAAUGUAGGAAAGGGAAAUCAGCAAAAUGGAUCUGUAACUUCAGGAUAAGGAUUGCCUCUGAGGGCUGGGCACAGGGGUCCCAGUCCUGAACCCAUCGAUUGUCAGUGGACUGAUCGAGCUGCUCCCACGAUAAAAGUGGGUCACCGCAUGCCAGUCGGGGGAAAAACUAGGAAUGAUUCCUUCAAGGGCCUUUCCCGUGCGUCGAACAGCCAUCUUAGAACUGGUACAGAUAAGGGAAAUUCGACUGUUUAAUUAAAACAAAGAAUUACGAUGGUCCGAAUGGAUGUUCACGCAAUGUGAUUUCUACCCAGUGCUCUGAAUGUCAAAGUGAAGAAAUUCAACCAAGCAUGGGUAAACAGUGGGAGUAACUAUGACUCUCUUAAGGUAUCCAAAUGCCUAGUCAUCUAAUUAGUGACACAUAUGAAUAGAUUAAAGAGAUUCCCAUUGUCUCUUUCUACUAUCCAGCGAAACUACAGCCAAAGGAACGGGCUUGGCAGAAUCAGUAUGGAAAGAAGAUCCUGUUGAGCUUGACUCAAGUCCGACUUUGUGAAAUGAUUUGAGAGGUGUAGUAUAAGUGGGAGAUGAAAGACGAAAGUGAAAUACCAUUACUUUUAACAUUAUCUUACUUUUUCACUGAAUUGGAAGUGGGGCACUACUCCUCUUUUUGGACCCAAGGCUCACUCUACAAGCUGAUCCAAGUGGAAUACAUUGUUAGGUGGAAAGUUUGGCUGGGGUGGCAUAUCUGUUAAAAUAUAACGCAGGUGUUCUAAGAUGAGCUCAAUGAGAACAGAAAUCUCGUGUGGAAUAGAAGGGUAAAAGAUCGUCUAAUUCUGAUUUCCAAUACAAAUACAAACUAUAAAAGUGUGGUCUAACGAUCUUUUAAACCUUCUGAAUUCAAUGCUAGAGGUGUCAAAAAAGUUACCAUAGGGAUAACUGGCUAGUGGCAGCCAAGCGUUCAUAGCGACGUUGCAUUUUGAUCCUUCGAUGUCUGCUUUUCCUAUCAUUGUGAAGCAAAAUUCACUAAGUGUUGGAUUGUUCACCCACCAAUAGGGAAUGUGAGAUGGGUUUAGACCAUCGUGAGACAGGUUAGUUUUACCCUAUUGAUGACAGUGUCAUAAUAGUAACUCAACCUAGUUCAAGAAGAACUGUUGAUUCACAUAAUUGGUCAUCGUGCUUAGUUGAAAAACUAGUGGCACAAAGCUACCAUGUGCUAGAUUAUAACUGAACGCCUCUAAGUUAGAAUUUGGGCUAGAAGCAAUGCAUGCUCCCUCCGUCCACUUAUCGACCCGUAGUAGGGGCCUCAGUAUACCGCGGCAUAGCCUCACUCGAGUUUGCCGCUUAUUUUUCAAGUGUCAUAUCCGUUCCAUUCCAAAUAGUUAAGAAUGAUAUCA